rnacentral:lncRNA from 1 species
CGGUGGCCGCGGGGUGGCCGAGGCUCACCCCCGCGCAACGGAACUGUUGGUGCGCUCCGACGGCGCGGAAGCCUCCGCCGAGCGCCGCCUUCUGACAGGUACUGAUGGGCUCCUGUGAGGUGGGUGGUGCCUGGGGCCGUGGCCGCGGCUACAAGCUGGAGGAGGUCAGGGAGCGUUUGGCAACUGCUCUCCUUAUGGGUUCCUUCUAACUCGGAAUAUUCUGUGGUUCUAAGUGUGUGUGAACUUUUAAAAACAAAAAGCAGAUGAGGUUAUUUCUGUUGUUGAUACUACAUAAUGAAUCCAUCCUGAUUGGAAACCCAUUCCCAACUCCCCUUCCACAGGCAGGGCUACCACCCAGCAGCUCAGCUGCCCAGGCCCCCAUCCAGCCUGGCCAUGAGUGCCUCCAGGGAUGGGGCACCACAGCUUCUUUGGGCAGCUGUGCCAACGCCUCACAGCCCUCUGAGUGAAGAAUUUUCUCCUUAUAUCUAAUCUAAAUCGCCUCUAUUUUAGUUAAAAGCUAUUCCCCCUUGUUUUAUCACUGUCAGACCAUGUAAAAAGUUGGUCCCCCUCCAGCUUAUGAGCUCCCUCCCCUCAAGUACUGGCAGGCCACAAUGAGGUCUCCCCAGAGCAUUCAGUUCUUCAGACUGAUCAACUCCAACUACCUCAGCCUGUCUUCAUAGGAGAGGUGCUCCAGCCCUCCAGUCAUCUUCGUGGCUCUCCUCUGGGCACUUUUCAACAGCUGGUCCUGGAAAUGCUAUCCAGAAGCUACUGAAGAUUGCAUUAAAAAUAUUUUGGUUUUGAUAGGUACUGGAACAUGUCAAAGGCCAACUUUCUGCAAAUAUUUAUGGCUUGUCCAUGUUUGGAAGCUCCCCAAAGAGACAGUCCAAAAUAAUGAUUCCAGAGAUAAAGUGGGACCUCUACCUGGCAUGUGGAAACAACAGCUCAUUUCCCCCAUCCCACUUAAUCCUGUGCUUCAAACCAGCACACACACUACAUCUGGUAGAUUGACAUGGAACAAAGAAGUCCCAGUCGCAACCACAACUGAUUUGACAUAAAAAGCUAUUUUUAAAUAUUGAACAUCCCGGUGCCUUUUUAGCGGAGGUUCAGUUUCACUUCCCAUGUUUUCCUAUGGAGUAGAACCUUUGAUUCAGACCCUGGCUCAUUUUGCUCUACAAAGGAGAGAGAAACAACCCCAACUUCAAGGAACACGGUAGCUCAGGGUGUUUGUAUCUUAGAUCUGUUUGCUAAAAAUAGCACUGCCAUGGGGAUUCAAAUAACAUCAUUUACAAGGCAGAAGGUGCAUCAGAAGAGAUGUAAUAUAUCACCUUUAAUUACUUCUGUAAUUCCCAAGCCUGGCAAUUUGGGCACAAAAUUUUGCUUUUAAAGUCAGCCUACUAAUAUGUAGGAUUAACAGUUGACAGAAUUACAGAGAGGCUGAUAAGUCAUAAUCACAAUUCCAAAUUCUAGCCAUCUAGAUUUAGCUGAAAAUACUGCUGCUUUUGCAGAGGAGAAACAGAAGUGAGGUUAUGUGGGAAAGAAGUGAGAUUGUGUAUUGUGAUAAGGUGGGACGGGGAUGAAGGAAUGGAAAAAAGACAAUGAAAAAGUAAGAAAGGGUGUUUUAAAGAAAGCAGAACAAAAAGAAAAUCAUGGUGACAAAAAUAUGUCUGCUCUCAACUGUAAAAACAAACAAACCAAGCAUUACUGAAAAAACCAGGACUUGGAAGUGCAUAGGCCCUACUCUUCUGCUGCUGCUUUUCUGCUGCAGGUUUGAUUUUUCACUCCCUUCCACCCUACUAUGCCAGGUGUGGAAAAUGAUACACUUUAGCAUACUUGACAGAAAUCAUUAGAAGGUGAUUUUGGAAGCAAGUCCCCAUCAGGCAGCUGGGCCAGUAGCUGUGGAUUUGCUCCCUGCCAAAGUUGGGGCCAAGGCCACUGCCUCAGCACCUGCAGGUCUUGCACACACACGGGUACAUGGCUAGUGAUGCAAAAUCACAUCCUCACAUUGAAGAGUCUGUAGGUUUGGAGAUGGGACAAGAAAGGACAACAUAUGUCCUAUGUGUAUUUGGGUAAGAAACUGAUACAGCUCAUUAAAACGUAAAAGUGAGAUAGAGGAAGGGGUAAAGCUUGUUGUUAGUUGUUAGUUUAUUUGGGGGGGGGGGGGGGGGGGGGCUGUCUGGUUGGGGUUUGUUUUGUUUUUCCUUUGUUUUGUUUUGUUUUGUUUUGUUUUUUUACUUCAAGACAAAGAAGAACUACAAACCUCAGCCAGUCAGGAGCAACCACCAUCAACAAGCCUACUGCCCACUGUGGGAGAAGUAACAGUUCUAUUGAUGCAUCUCAGUGGGGAUGAAUUUCAGAAACAGCACUGCAGCCUCACUUUCUCUUUAGAGAGGUAUCAACACACAUAUACAAGAUCCUGGAUUUGUGCAAGUCACACAGGGACAAAAAUUAAGUUUGACACACUGUGUCUAGUACUGACAGACAGCAGAAGAAAUGAUUUCCUUGAGCUACGUGCUGUAGCUUUUACUAUAGUCGGUUUUGAUUGUGGUUUAAGAACAGAUACUGUAUUUCUAGCAUAUACGUUGUUGCUACUCCAGUCCACAGGGAAGCUGAAAAUUUUCAUGCUUUUUGUGUGAGCUUUGUUAAAAGAUUUGAGAUGCUGAACAAACAAAUUUUUGCUAUUCAGUUAAACUUUAAUAUCCUGAGUAAGACAGCAAUGUGCUUAAUACAGAGGAACUUGCAAAGGUUUCUUAACAGAAAUCUUUCUCUGAAAAGGGAAUAGCAUGUCACUAUUGUUUUAUUGAAUCAGAUUUUCUAGUUCUCCUUUUCUGCGUAUUUAAGUAAGUACUGUUGGAGGCAUGAGGAGAAGACGAAAAUGAUUCAAACAGUAGAUUCUCACUUAAUAAUCAACUAUUUCCUGGAUCACAAGGGGUAUUUUUCCUAGGUAUUUAGUUAUGUAAAUAAAGCUCUGUGUAGUGCAAAAUCCUACAGUAAAAAUAAAUGCCUCAGAACAAUACCAGCAGUUUUCUAUUGUUCACCAGAUAUUACUCCUGGGGAUAAAAUCAAUUUGAGAUUUCCUGUGUUUUGUAUGAUAAGAAUCUCCUGUCUGUCCACAAACAGAUUACUUUUCACAACAUUACGAAUCAAUUAAUCAGUAAAAUGGACCAAACCAUGCAGACAGAUUAAACAAACUUUUCCUCAUCAUUUAAAAAAAUAAAUAAAAAUCUAUAUUUAAAGCAAUGGUGAAAUUUUUGACUGCAAAAUGUAUCUUAAUACACUGCAAGCAAUUGAACAGCCAUAGAAAGAUCAUCUCAAGAUUACUAGUCCUAUUUAAUAGUCCUAACAGUCAGGCAGAUGCAAUUCAUCUAUCACACCUCAGGCCAACUGAGGAGAAAGAAAUACAAAUUAAAACAAUCAAACAAAAAACAAAACAACAAAAGACAGCCUCUUAUUGUAUGCAAAAAGAUGGGACAAAUAGUAUUUUUCAAGUCACCAUUUUGUUAUUUGAGUUCGCACCAUUCCUUGAAAGCACUCUGUUUAGACUCCUUGUGAGUGUAAAUCAUUACUUUUGAGGAAAAAAUAAUGAGAAAAGAGAAAGAGGAACAUGGAAGUUUUUCAGAUUAAGGGCACGAUCCUGUUUCUGUUGGACAAAGUUCUUCUAAGUUCCAUGUUGCCUGCAUUUUGUGUGUCUGGAGAGUUUAAGGAAAGCCUGAAACAGUCCAAAUAGCAUGUAAAACCUUUGAGCUAUACCCUGUUUAAUAAUUCUUUCAACCCUAGUUGUAGCUGAAUCAAAUCAACAAUAACAGUAACUACAGGGCAUUCCUAUUUAUCUUAGGAGCCACCAUGUGCAUAUCUACUUAAGGAGCAGAUUCACAAAGGAAUUCAAGCCAACUUAAGCCUCAUUACUGAUUUAAGAAAGCAAAACAAAACUGCUGUCUUCUUUUUACCUCCAUGAAUCUGGCUCUGCUUCUCAAGUGGAUGUACAGUGUAACAUUGGCUGGAGAAAAGAACUGAGGCAUCUGAGAAUUAACCCUGUUAUUAAAAAGCAUUCCAGCUUACUGCUUGAACAGAGUUGCACCAAUAGAAGAAAGCAGUGGCUCAGGGCAGGAGCUUGGACCAGGCUUUGCAAAGGAAACCUAGGCUGUGAGUGACCUCAGCCAUCUGCAGAAACACCAGGAAGCUGAUGAAACCUUACUUGGCAUGAAAUGGGCAUGCAGGGACAACACAGAGGAUAUAACUUUGUCACUGUUUUGGUUUGGAUGAGAAGCAUGCAUGCUUUGGGUUCAUGUGAAGGAAUGAUUUUAGAUGUAACUGAACUAUAAAGUGCUUGCUAUGGGUGCAGUCAUUGUGUUCACUCAGUCCACAAGCCAAAAAGCAUCAGCUGAUCCAGUCUACAAAAUUCACUCCCAGGCUGCACUAAUUGCAGAUAUAGACAUAACUAUGCCUUCCAUCCUGGGGUUAACUUCAGUCAUUUACUGCUGCCUGCACUGAAAGCACUGCUGCUGUUUGCUCAGCCAAAAAUCUGACGACAGAGGGGCAGAGUAUGUGUAACUCUGUUUAUUAAUAUUUAUCUUUUCCCCACAAAUCUUCCUGCUGAAUGAAGGAAAUAUUACUUAUAUUCUGCUAUACUAUUGGAGUUCUGGAGAUGCACUCUCAUCUGAAGCAUAAAGGAAUUAAUUCUGAUUUGGAUUAUUUUGUCUCUGGUAUUCGUAGGGAUGUAGUUCUCAGCUUUGGAAGAGAUGGAAGGCAGGGAGAAAGUCAAUAUCCUCUUUCAGCAGCUUCCAGAUAGCACAGUGCCUACAAGAGAGUCAUCUACACUGUUAGGAACUAGAACUGAACAGAUAAUUAUUGUUUUUCUGUUUGGGAAAGAAAGGAAACAGAGGAAGGAAAAGUAUGUUAGAUGGAGUCUGAUAGUGCUGGCUCCUAAACUGGAAAACCAUGACCACAGGAUAUAAUCUCUUUCUUCCAUUUCUUGUUUUUUUGUACUAGAUAUGACAAGGUGAAGUCUGAAAGAAAACCAAGUGAUUUGUUACGAAUCAUUUAUUCUUCAAGUUGAUCAAGAAAGCAGUGAUUGUUACUGAUCAGGCAAUACUAUGUAAAUAAAACAAUAGGAGGCAACAUAGGAAGCUAAAUUGGCAUGGAUUGCCAGUUUACAAAGAAACACCAAGGGAAAGAACAACAACAUGAAAAAAAAAACAAUGCACAAAGCUGUACCUGGGCAGUACUGCCAGGAAAAAGACAUUGGAUCCAAAUCUGCAAUUAGAUGAACAGGGCAUGGUAAUGGUUUCAGGGUAGAAAGAUUAAAAUUGAUAGGAAGUCCUUGUGGCUGAGGUGGGAGGCUUGGUGGUUCUAUAUGGAAGCCCCAGAUACAGCCUGCAUCAGACAAAAGGAACUGAGAAAAAGUACUAAGGAAGGUUUAUAAAUUUAUUUGGAUUUCAGUAGAUUAUUUUUCUAUAUGCUGACAACCAAAAAUAAAUUUCAGGUACUGCUUUUUUUCAUUGCUACUCCUUCAUGAAAGAAGCAUGGAAGUUAAGUAAUUUCAUGAGUUAACAAAAAGAUUUUAUCCUUUCUCUUAAGAUGCUAACAAUUAAAAUAUAUGUAGCAGGAUUUUCCCUAGGGUAACUCUACAGUUCUUCAAGGUACAAGGGCAUAUUAGAGAUUACACAGUUAUUAUAAAACCAGUGUAAUGGCAACACAUGCUGUCACCUGGCAGUAUGUGUCUAAUUGAUCUUACUCAAUUACUUAAUUUUAUGACUCGCUUUAGUAAAGGUUAAGACAUUGAUGUUUUAGAAGGCUGUGCUGAAUAAUACCAUUGUUGGAGAUUACUUUCUCAUGUAAUUGCUUCAUUAAAAGCAGGUAAAUAGAGGAAGAGUCAUCCUGUCAGGAAGCACACUGAAACGGAAUAUCCUAUGUCAAAGCAACAGCAUUACUGUCUUACAUACGUAUGUUUUCUAGUGUCUCCCUUUUUGGAGUGGGAAAUACUUGCCUCUUUUUGACUUGCAUAAAUGACAGUAAACUCAAGUGAGAAACUCCUCUACAAUUUUAGCAUUUUUAAGCAUGACAGGGAACAAGAAGGAAAGGCAGCUCAGUGGGCUCUUUGUAGGCCUGUCAACAAAUAUUUGUACUUCAACAAGUAUUUUCAACUGCAAAGCCACAGUUUAUGUGUAGGUGGGAAAGGGUGCUGUGGUUCAGAAGCAAUACUCACUGCAUGCAUGUUCAAGAUAUGCAAAGGAAAAUUUAUUCCAGAGCCUUUGCUAUGGAGCAGUGUCUCUGUAUCCAGUCCUCUUCUGUUAUCCCAGUUUCCCUAAUGCAAUUUUAGUCAGACAAUCUGUGGUCAUAGGCUGAGUGAAGUAUUUAGUCCUUCACUGAAGGGACUUGUGAAGCCACAUUUAGGGAUCAGGAGGGAAAAAUGUGUCAUGUUUUUUCAUACAGCCCUGUGUUGUUACGAUGUUUCCAGUUCUUCUCUGUCAAGGUGAUGCUCAUAUACCUUCACAGGAAACUGCAUGCUGUAAAUAUCGUGGCUUUGAUAACCAUUGUUGAUGUUAUCCUAGCAGGCAAAUAUCAGUACCUUCAAGCUGUUGCCUGCUAGAACCUUCUCAUCCUUUCUUUCUGUCUUUCCCUGGACCUGCCCAGCAGCCAGCUGGAAGACACCCUUCCAGCUCCCAACACUGGGUGUGUCUGGUCUCCCAGCAGAGGAUGCUGAAGGAGUGUCAAUGGGAGCAGAUACAGUUCACCUCACAGGAGAUGGGACCAUUUCUGGGGGAGAUACAGGAGGAGAUUCAAUAGAGCUGUCUCAGUAGAGCAGUGGAGGCUCUAGAAAGGGCGGCACUGCUUCACCACCAUGUUUUUUCUCUACUCUUUUUUGUAGGCCUUUUUCUGGGGAUGCAGAAUGCCCAUGCCCUGGAUUCUUUGGUGGAGUUUUACUGUACGCAUCCUUCCCAUAUACAGCAGGAGCAGACCUAUGCAAGCUCACUCUCCAAUAAACAACAUUUAAACCAAAUGGUUUAGUUCGAUCUCUUGACUCAUUUGUCUUUCACUUAGAGCAGUGAAUCUAAUGCAACAAAUAUCAUAAUUUCCCUCCCUUUGUUUUUUUGUUUGUUUGUUUGUUUGUUUGUUUUGUCUGCUAUCCCCAUUGGAACACAUCUGCUUUCAUUGGUAGUAGUGCUACCAUGGAAGCACAUGCUGCUUCUCCACUCUGCUCCUUCAUUGAGUUCGGCCACUUCUUACUCUUCUAGAACUAAAGUAUAUGAGCUUGCAUUUGGCUACUUCAGAAGGCAUGUUAGUUGAACGAGCCCAGUUUAUCCUGGAAACUGGAUCACACUCUGUAGUGUCCAUUGUCAUCACCAUUUAUUACUUCAUCUGCGCUUUUGGCUCUGCAAAAAGAGACAAAAAAAAAACCCCAAACAAACAAACAAACAAAAAAAACCCAAAACAUUAUUUGAUUUUUUAAAUAUGUUUCCAGAUUAUUCAUAAAAUUAUUACCGGCUCUUGGGUUUUUAAGGUUUUGAUGCUAUUUUGUAAGAUCUGUAAUAUAACAUAUCUUUUUUUCCCAUGUGCCUUAUUAAUGUUAUGCAAUACUAAAUCAUUUUAGUUUGAAGGCCACAAAGUAUCAAGUUAAAUACUGUUCCUAAGUGUAUUACCUCAGCACUGUUGCAAACAUCAAUAUAUUUUUAAGUUCAGCAGAGAACAACCUGAGUUCAGCUGACGAGGCCUUUUUGCAAAACUCUUAGAGUGUUAAUCUGCUUUCAUUGACUGAACUUCAUCUUUUACAUUUUAUAAAUUAUGAGGUCAACCACGUUGUUUGAGUUCAGCUUUGGAGGAUUUCCAUUGUACGCUCAGCAAGGCAGAAAACUCCUCAGCUAGAUCUUCUACAACUACUGACUGAAAGAUAUCUGUGCUCUCCUUUUACCAUAUUUGUUUCUAAUAAAUGUGUUUUAGUAUUUAACUUGUAGACUGGCAAACUGUACAAUAUUCUGAUCAGAUAUAAAUACUUCAUCUUCUCCUUAUCAAAUACCACUAAGCAGCUAACCACUGAACACAUUUUGCAUCAUUAGCUCUCUUAUGUCAGUCUAGUACCAAGCAUUUACUGACAUUCUAACUUAUUUUCACAGAACCACAGGAGUUGCUACCACCUCUCUGGGCAGCCUUUUCCAGAGCUUCGUCACUCCAACACAUCUUUCCCAUCAUAUUGAUCCGUGCAAUUGCUACACUCAGUAAAUACAAACACAUAGGUAAUGCCCACUAAUACAUAAUUACGUGCACAUAUGAAAGAGCUUGGCUGAGCCUGUGCUCUGUCUGCCCUUGUUUGAUGUAAUUAGUUGUGACCACUUUUCUUCAGGCAAUCACAAGCUUCCAGCCUUGCAGUCAUUCCACCUCUACCCACCACACUCGGGUCUGUAUGCGUGGUACCUAUUUUGUGCUGAAAAAUUGUUGCUGGUAACUUCUGGAAACUCUAAUGCAGCUUUACCACUGUCUUCAUGACGCUUCCAUUCUUCACAAAUCAGUGAUGAUAAUGCCAGUUUUAUUUUCACAUAGCAUUGACAGGCACUUAAGGGCUUAUUAGCUUUUCUUAUUUUUUUUUUUUUUAAAUUGCUUUUAGCAUUGAUGACUAAAUGCUUUCCAUACAUUAUUCAUUUUUACAUUGCAUCAAACUGUAAAGAAGUAUGUGAUAUACUAGAAAAACUACAGUUUUGGUCCCUGAUUGAUUUUCUUUCAUAGCUUUUGUGUUUCAUUAUCUUUCAGUGAUUAAUGAUAUUUUAUAGCAUUGUAUUAUUAAUGUAGUCAUACAAAUUAAAUUUGUGUAUAACUGACAUCUAAAUCUUAACCAAGUGGCACCAAAAGCAACAUAGCAAUAGACAAGAUAAGAGUUCAGCCUUGGUAUUACCAUUUUCCUCAUGUUGCAUUUGAUGCUACAGAUAAGUAGUAACUGACAAAGAAAAUUCAUUGACUUGAUUCCAACUGACAAGAUUUCACAUAUGCUGGAACAUAUCUUGUUGCAGUUUCUGUAAAAAUGGAUACUGUUGUUUAACUUUUCUUUUAAAUUAUUUUUUGCUUUACCUAAGAUAUUCUAAGGUGUUCCUACACUUGCUUUCAUUGUUCAUCAGCAGGUAGCAUAUGAGUAAACAGAAAGCACACAGGAAAUAUUGCUAUCCUUCUGUUGUUAUUACAAAUUUGAUUUGGCGUGUUAAUAACGUGACUGUCAAAGCUGUUUAUAUUUAAAUGUUCAGUGAAGAUAAUCAUCACUAUAGAGUUUGGGCUCAGAAAAGGGUGAUAUCUUCCUCCAGAAGCAAAUCUGUGAUGGAAAUUUCCAUGCAGAUCACUUGACAGGAGAUUACAAGUUUUUCUGCAGGCCAGAUACAGACUGAGAGAUACAGAACAUGCAGAUGCUUUCAUCUUGGAGUUGCCAAAUGUACUGCAGUUCCUUUUUGCUUUCUUACUCAAAACCCACUCAAAAGUGGGUCAUACCCAAUUUUGCUUCAGUAAAAGCAUUUAAGUAACAAAAUAUGCAUUGGAUUCUGGAAAAUACAUACCGAGUCAUGCACAGGUAUUACUCAUUCUUUGUGAUAUUACAUUCAAAUUUUCCCAGUAUUAAAGAAAAAUAUUUUUUCGUAAUAAGUAAUACGCUGCCCCAAAGAUAUUGAAACACACUCCAACUGUACCUAAUAGAGCUGGUGUAACCUCCAGUCAAAUGAGAAAAAUCUGCAUAGAUUCCAACUCAGCUAUGUGUAUCACAACAUUUCCAGUACUUGUAGAAAUAGUUGGCAGCGCUACUUCUGUCCUUCAGGUGUAAUCCAAGCUAAAACCUGCCUGCAGGCAAAUCACGUAUAACAAUUCAGAGUUUAUCCUCGGACAGAGAGCAUGUUGGGUCUUGGCUGUACUCUCUUUGUGCUUUGUGCAAUAAUUUGUACUCCUGUGAAAUAACUACAAAAAAACCACCACCUGUCUGACUGGGGAUUUGGUUGUCUUUUACAGAGCUCCACAGGGCUAUGUGAAGAAGGCUUCCAAAGGAGAGAUCACGUCUAGAACCCUCCUGUAGAUGGAUCACAGGCUGUUGGGCAUGUUGAAAAUGCUGUUGCGUUGGCAGACAAGCUUUGGCAAGCUGCUUCAUAGAGGCUGAAAGGAGGUUUUGCUUCCAGCUCCACUCCUCUGCUGGAAUUACUGUCUGCACAGUAAUGGGGGAAUGCAGACCUUUGACUUAGCAGCUCUGGUGCAAAGGGUAAAACAUUCACCUUUGCUAAAGGUUAAAACUGAAAUGCUUUUCUGGAAGCAUAGGUGAAUUUGCACUAAAACAUCAAACUGAGUAGAAGAAAGAGAAGCACUUGAUUCCUCCUGCUGCUCUGGUGGUUGGGAAGAUGGGAUGGAAAAGGUGAGCGGCCUUCCAUGAGGUGCAGCACAGAAGGGUGAGAAUGGCAGCAUUUGAAAUUGACUCAAUGUAACUACUGGUGCUGGUAUGAGUGACUGGCAAAUGACCAUAGUGAUUUAUGUGGAUUAUUAAGUGUCGAUAAAGAUAUUAUGUCGAUAAAGAUAUUAAUAUUAAGUGUUGAUAAAGAUACAUGAAAAUUGCACAGAAUGUGGAGCACAGGUUUGUAACUUCGAUCACCAAUUACCAAAUAAUUCCAGAGACUUACCUGUGAACUGACACUAUUAAGAUCUUCUUUAAGGUAUGUCUAAAUGGAGAAAUUCCACCAAUGUGGUGAUGGAAGAAUUAAAUUUGUGAUUCUUGCUAGACUUAUCAAGUUCCAAAUCUAAAAGUGCUCCAAAACAUUCUGGUGCCACUGCAAAAAUUAAGCUUGAGCCUAAGCCAAUGCAAAGGAAUCUUCCUGACUCUGUACAUUGGCUUGACUAUAGAAAGGGCAAAUGGCCCAAUUGUAAAAUUCCUGGCUACACCCAGAGUUGUUAAACUUCAGUAAAAAUAUAUAACAUUUUGUGGAAUUUUUAUAUUCCCACUGUUUGGUAAGGUCUAAAUAAAGCCUUUGAAGCUUCAUUUACUCAUUUUAAAUGCAGGUGUUCAAACUGGAACACAUACAUUCACCAAAACAAGGCACAGCACAAAUAGUAAAGAAGGCGAUGUGGUGGAAGACGGCAUACAUCAGUAGGAAAACAGUUAACCAAGAUUUAGUUCAUACAUAUUUAAUUGAACAUGUAUUUAAGCCAAGUAUUCUUUCCCAUAUCUUUGCAUACAUACUUCUAUGUCUCUUUCUGUAUAGCGAACUUUUCAGUCCUCUCGUUUCCCCAUGUUUUUAUACACUCAUGAUUUUUUUUUUGUACUGCUUAGACCUGACCUCUCUUAUUUUUUCCCUGACUGUAUUCACAUCUGGCUUUUAUCAUUUUGUUUGUCUGGCUAACUGCAAAGCAAUACCCUCCAAUCUUGCUAGUCUAUCAGCAGUGUGAAAAUACCACGAAAUGUAAACCACCAGCAAAUGUGUGAACUACCAGAAAGCUGCUAUUUGCAGAGUGGUGAAUUACAGAGAGCGUAAGAAAAGCAGCAAAAAUGUUUUGUUGUUAACACUGUCACUUCUUCCCCUUCCCCCCCCCCCCCUUUUUUCUUUUUUGCCAUGGAUUUUGUAAUGGGUAAGAUUUACUUAAAAAUAACAAUGAAUUGCAUGAACACCUUGAAAUUAACAGUAGUUAAAUAUUGACAUUAAUUUCAAUAUUUUAAAAAUCAGGUUUUGCAGAAUAUAUCUUUGUAUAUUGUUCCUGAUAUUUGGCAGACUGCUCUUGGCAAAUGCUCCUGUAGUGCCUCAGUCACAUCAACGCACAGAUUGCUGUGUUGCCAUAAAACUAAUUUCAUUUGCAAUUUCCACAUGGGGAGAGGAAAUUGCAAUUAAGUGACUGAGGCAUGAAUGUGUUUCGUUCUGCUGCAUCUGCGGUCAGGAUGAUUGUCUGUAUCGAAGUGAUGGUACAGACACGUGGGUCAGUGUCAUUUGAAAUUUCUUCACCAAGAUUCAGCAAGUCUGUUAAUCCAUGUUUAAAAAUAUGACUAUAAAAUAACAUUAAUAUAUUAUAUUUAAUACUUAUUAUCUCUCUUCUGCUGCUCAGAGGGCUAACUGGCAUUAGUCAGGGGAUGGUGAGCAAUUUCUCGUGCAUCACUUGUUAUACACAUUCAUAUAUAUAUAUAUAUAUAUAUGUCUUUGUCAUAACUAUUAUCCUUUUCCUUUUCUCUAUCUUAGUAAAUAGUUCUAUCUCAACCUGCGAGUUCUACUUCAUUUUUUUCAGUUCUCUCCCCAUCCCACUGGGAAGUGGGGGGAGUGAGCAAAAAACUGUGUGGUGCUGAGCUGCUGCUGGGUUAAAACAUAGCACUCAUGACUGUGCUUCACAAGAUCUGUCAUAAACAGGUUCUGGGUUAAAGGAAAUGGCAUAGCUUGUAGCAGCAGCAACGUAAAACCCAGAUCUUAUCCUCAGUGAAUCUGUAAAAUAUUUUGCUGCUGACUUCACUGAGGUCAGAAGUAGACUAUCAAUUUGGUAAACUUGUUUUUAACCAUCAGUCUAGAUUUUCAUCAUUAAAAACAGGGGAAGAUGUGAGCUUGGAGGGUCUACUCCAAACUAGAAAUGUAUCCCUACGACAUCCAAAACUUCAUUCCCAAAUAUUAACGGCCAAUGAAAAGAACAAAUAAAUUCACUACAAAAUAAUAAUUAUUUCAGUCCCUUUGAUUUCAUAAGCUGAAUGCUUUUAUUAGAUAGUAUAUUUGAGUAAUGCUUGAGGAAUUGUUCCAGUAGUAAAAGGAAACACAUAUUCUUCCCUAGUUACAGCUGCAAUGUUGAUAUAAGGCUUUUAACCAACGGUCAGGACAAUGUGUGAAAGUGUCAUGGUAUAAAACAUAACAAGCUGCUGCUUCUCAUUUCUUAGCUAUGUCUGAGUGAAAUGAAAGUUCAUUGGAGAACUUGUGAAUAAACUAUAGGGAAAUAUGAACCUGUAUAGGAGCUUAGAAAUGCUGCACAGAGAUUAUGACAUUGCAAAGUGCUUUUGAGUUUGUUAACGCUACACAGUAAAGCCAAACUGGUAGAAUAAUUAUCUGAUUUUUUUUUUAAUUAGAACUUGUUAGUGUUUCAUAGAUUUCAAUAUCAAUCUAGUACUAAUAUUUUGAAAUCAUAAUGCUCAAGUAGUACUUAAAGUGGAUGCUAUUUUUAGCAGUAAUUACAUUUUUCGAUAGAACUUAACUCCAUGUGACCUCUUUGUAGAGCCAAUAGUAUUUUGCUAAGUUAGCAGCUUUUUGCUAUUUUUCUUGGGGGAGAAGUAUGUUUGUUUAAAAAAAAAUCCUUAAAAAUAUUAUUUCCAGAAUGAAUAGGACAAUAAUAAUCUAAAUAUAGUUGGCUCACUUCUAAUAAUUUUUUCCUCAGAAACAGUUUCCAAGUACAACCACUGGAAAUAGGCAAAUACUAAGAGACUGAUGACAUUCCCUAAAGACUGACAGCUUUUCUUAUUUAUAUAUUUAUAUUACAUAUUUUUACAAAACAUAUGUACAUAUAUACAUGCACAUAUAUUUAUAUUUUUAUAUAUAUUCAUAUAUAUACAUAUGCUGAAAGUUCACUUUUUUUGUCCUUUUCAUCCUCUUUUAGGAGCCUACUAGAUCCAUGGAUCAGGCAUGUAACAACCUUACAGUGACUGAAGUUCUGAAGUUCAAAGGGCUUUAGUUUUGUUUGUUUUCUAAUAUUUUGUCUAAACAUUAGGAUCAAAUGUGACAUAAUUAUUAAAAUGCUUCUGAUUUACUGAAUUUAAAGUCUCUACUCUUCUUGCUUUUUCAAUUUUUAAUAAUGCAUUAUCCAGUUUGCUUGUUAAGAGGACAUAUCUACUGCUCAGUUAUUGCUCUUCUGAUGCACAGAAACUUUUACGUACGCACAUUUUACAACUUUGGUAACCUGAAAACCAGGUCUCCACCAUAAGUAAGACCAUACUCUGUACUGAAAACUAGGUUGGAAUUCUCUGCAAGAUUGUGUUAAUGCUUAGUGAGGGCUCCUCAGAAUUGGUAGUUUGGUCGUACAUGCUCUAAGUGUACCAUAGCAAUGAAUUAAUACCUUCAUCAAAUGUCUGUAUUUGUACUGUUCAGUAGUUUCUUCCACUCUCCCCUAAGGUCACGGUUGUGUUGUUAAUGCUUUUCUGGAUCAAUAUCCUGAUAUGCUGGCACAGCAUACAUUGGCAAGGCUGACCUUUUGCUAGCACAGCAUAUGUCACAUCUUGGUGCAUGUCAAACACUCAUAGUACGUUUUGGCUAUAUAAAAGAAGUUUAUCACAUCUGGCCAAAGCAGUCUAAACACUUUUUAAAACUACUUGUACUACUAAAGACCUAUCAGUUAUAUCCACUGCUACUAACAAUUCUGUAUCUCUUAUUACCUUAGAUAUUCCUGUCAUUUUUGCCAGUGCAGUGAAGAUGAGGAUGACUUAUUGGAUCGUUGUCUCACUUACUUCAGAUUAGAAAGGAUAUGGUAAUGUGCAUAAGUUCAGUAUUCACAGAUUAAACAAAUUCUAGUAAGUGUUAUUGAUAGGAGAUAACAAGUAUGAAAUUUAUUAAUUGCUUAAAUUGACUUUUACACUGCAAGAAAAACAUCUUUUCCCUCUCCCCUGCUGUCACUGACAAGUGUGGAUGCAUGUGAUGUUUAAAAUGUUUAAUUAUGGCCAAGACAAUGAGCAUUAUUAGGUUCAGUGACCUGUAUACCUGUGUAUCUCCUGCUGUAGGGAACCUGUUUUAGUAGGGAGGUUGGGACUCUGUGAUCUCUAAAGAUCCCCUCCAACCCCUGCAAUUCUGUCUGCUUUUAAGUCACGUAUGCACUAUUUCUCUAUACUGACCUAACUCAGAUUCAUGUGCAGCCUUUGCUGCAUAUUCUAAUUUGGGGUUUUGUGUUAUGUACAAGUGGAAGAGUGGCAUGGUUACGAUGGUACUUUACAGGUGUUAUAGUUGGAAAGAUUACUGUGGUGAAAAAGAGAUGAUCAAAGAAGAAAUGCUCACCUGUAUCUGAGGAUCUAGGUUCACAGUGGAAAAACUCCAAAAAAGAGGGAUCUCCAGAAAGAGAUCCUUCCCCAGUGGUAGUCAGCCUUAAAUGGGGUCUAGCCUGGCUCCACCCCCUUCAGUCACACAGGUGAAUUGCCUUCACCUGAGCUCCCAUGGCUGACCCAGUCCUUGUCUCGGGUGAUCAAUCAGUGGUUCAGGCCAUGACUCAAUAGUUCCCAUACCUGUUAUAAUUUGAGAACUGCUUAUACAUGCAGCCUCAUACAGGAGUGUUUCGUAGAUUUGUUGGGUUUCUUUUUUUUUGAGUGUAUGUGUAUGUUUUCCUAGUUGUUGUUUUGUUUGUUUUCUUUCAUACGUUAAGAUAACUUUACAUAGGUGGCUUAAUUCUGAAUGUCUAUAAAGGCUGAAAGGUCCUACUUUGAUCCUCUGUACAGUUAAGGCCCACUGAGUGUGUAGAAUCAGAUCUCAACAGGUAUAUGGGUUAUUUGUUAUUAAUUUAUUAUUAGGAUGAUAAACAAAUGGAUGAUAAACAAGGGAAUAAGCAAAUAGUUUGGAUGAUGAACAGAUUCUAUUCAAAAUAUUUGCAAUAAAAACAAAGCAGCAUUUGCAAGUCCAAUCUCUUGUUAGCGAGUCCAAGUGAAUAUAUUAACCUUAAAAUAUACAUAGGCCAACAAUACCUGGGAUGUGGGCAGACACAAAUUCAUAGCUGGGAUUAGCAUAAUCCCUAUAUUUAUGUUCAAUAUAUGUGUGUAUAUAUAUAUUAUAAAGUGGAAAAGCACUAAGAAAAUAGGGUUUGAUUGGAGAGCAGAGGUGAAUCAUCUUCGUAAUUUGAAUUUGUAACUCAUGCACAGAAUGGAAACAGAACUAUAUACAAUAGCACUUUAUUGACUCAUUAAUAUUUAUUUAUAUACACAGUAAUAUACCAUCCAUCAACAAAUUGGACUCUUUAAUAAAUAGCAUUAACGUUGCUUGUUUUUUGCAUAAUCAGUUAAUUAAUGCUUCUGCAUUUGACAUUCUCAUUUACUUUAUGUUGCAUAAUGAUUUAUCUUGUUCUGUGCUGCAGUGUUUACUCCUAAGGAGUAGAAAGUUAAACAGUAAACUUUGUUAAACAGUAUUUUGUUGCCCAGUAGCUCGAGUAAUCAAAGUAAAAUCUAUUAACACAUUAAUUAGUAUCUUAAUAUUCAAUAAAAUACCCUUUUCUUUUCUUUUGGAGGCAUAAACAUCAUUGCAGAAGUUAUUAUUGUAAAAGUUCCAGACAGGUAAUUCUCAAAGUAUGUGCACGUGAAUCCUGUAAGCAGGACAUAAGGAGUACUGAAUAACAGCAGAAGUAUGUGGUCUGUAGGCAAAUAUGGACAAUAAAAUGGGGUGUUGACAACCUGAUUAGACUUUUUUUUUCCUUAAGCAUUGUUCUAGUUUUAAAGCAACUUUUAAAUUAAAUUGAAAUUUAAUUUAAAUCUCCCAUAUUUUUUUCUGUAAGGAUAAAAGCAAAUAUUGUCAGUUUCUUUACAAAAAACAAAGGUCAUGAACUCUGAUAAACCAGUAUACAAAUAAAUAAAUGGUUUUUAUAGCAUCCUCUCCCAUUAGAUUGCAGCUCCAUUCCAGGAGCAUGCUGGCCUUUUGAAUAUCCAUAAUGAAAAUGUAGUGCCAAAGGCAGGUGACAAAGCACUAACAAAUUGGAACAAAAGAAAAAAAGGAAAAGCAGUAUCAGGCAUGCUACCUGCUGGCAAGAGCAGUAUUAUUGACCCCGUAAGAAAGCAUGAGUUUCCAUUUACAGUGUAUGCAAGAUGGGGCUCAGAGUUAGUGAGGUUUGUAAGUGAAAUACAUCUUAAAAAAAAAAAAAAAAAGCAAAAAGUGAAAUAAUAUUCACUUGCUAUUUUUUUCUAUUUAUUUGUGGGAACAUUUGAGUAAUUAAACAAAUUUUUGUCCUAGAAGCAAAGCAACCAAAUAAACUGAUCCAAAUUAUUGGACUUCUGGUUUCCUGCACACCUAAAAAUAAAUAAAGAAAUAAACACUGAGAACUUUUUGUAUAUAGGAAUUAAGUUAGCACUGAUGGAGAGUUCUUUUUAGUUCUGUCAGUGCCUGCAAGUAUUCUCUGUAGGUAGUACAGAUACACCUGGCAAAAGCAAAGAAUGUCCAUCCCCUCCCACAUGGCACCUCCUGAUCACUGUGUAGCUAUACAGUUUUCUCUUUCCUCUUAUGCCUAUGUGUCUCCAAUGGCUCCAGCAGAACUCCAGGUAGCUGCCCAUUGCACACCGAAGAGGAGAUGCACUCUUCUUGCAUCAGCAGCAGUCAGGAAAGCCAUCAAAAUAAUAGUUGUACAAAGCAGCUGUUGUACAAAAAGUAGUUAUAGGAAGUUGUACAACAGCUGUGCAAAAAUGAUCUAAAAUAUACUUUUUCAGCGACAGUUGCCCAUAGAAAAAUUUGAUGAGCAAUUCUACAAGUUUUCACCUUUGAGAUUUCAUUUCACAAACACUUUUCAUCAUGAGGAAUAAAAAGUUGGCAGGGCCAUUGAUUUCAUCUAAAAUGUUUGAUUUAAAAUGCUUUCCGUCAAAUAAAUGUGUUUCAUGAUGUUCAACUGCCUGGUUUCUUUUUACAUGUUGUCGAUGUCAAUGCCAAAAACUACCUAAGAUUUACCAUGUUGGUGCCGUGCUAUAUAUUGCUCCAUGGCAUAACAGUUGUCAACUCCAAGGUCACAGCUUUAUUAAAGGAUCAAGAUUUACAAUAAUGUUAGCUCCAGCAUGAAUGCCUUCACACACAUCUUCCCAUACUUUACUUCUCUGAGGUCACCAGCCCAAUCUCUCCCCCUGCCAAAGCUACUAAUCCAUAAAUACUGCAGUCUCCUGAACUAAGUUCAAAUGGACCUAUCAUCUUCUUUGAGUAAUAAAUCUUUACUUUUGUUUAACACCUGCCUUCAGAGAAUGCAACCCUCUUUACCUGCAGUAAUUAAUUUACCUUCACCACGUCCUUAUGUGGUGCUUAAAAACUGCUCCCCUUUUACAGACUAAGGAACCGAGGCAUGAUGACAUGCUUGACUGCAGUGCCACAGGAAGACUGAAAAGACUUGGAAGCCUGUGUCUGCAUUUAAGUCUUGAAUGCUGAAGCUGAAAGCUGUGCUAUAUCCCUCCCAGUCCUGUAGUGUCUAAACUGAGGCCUCUGUAGCUCUUCUUGUAAUGUAGUUUCAUGGCAUUGAUAAGGCAAACCUGAAGUUGGCUAUAUGGGAGUGUAUAGUCCUAAUCGAUGCACACAGAUAUAAAGAAGUAUUCUGCAGACUCUUUAUCACUCAAGGUGUGGUUGGGUAUCUUCUGGUUGUGCUUGCACUGUUGAAGGGAUUACUGCUACCAACUUACAUACCCCAACAGGGGGUACUGCUACCCCUCAUGCCUUCUCAGAUCUACAGGCCUGGCUUCCUACUUCAUUUCAGACAAGGCCAGUUAAUUACUUCAAGCAGCAGUUCUUUGCCAGAUGAUGAACAGCUCAGCUAACUCAUAGCAACCUCCAACAGAGCAGUAAUGAGUACAGGAGAGCAGUUAGCUCAGGUGCCAGCAGAGCCCCAGGUACAAAAAUACACCUUACCUCAGUGACUCAGCUUCCCAGCUCUGUCCUCUCCCGUGAGUCCUAUGCACAAGAAGUUUUGCAGUUGGCACUGGACUUUCUCCUGAGCUGAAGCGUGCAGUAAAUAUCCCAGCCCAGAUGACUUUACUCUUAAAUUGCUUAUAUGAAUGGGUGAACUUCACGACUACUAGAACACAAAGGCCUUCAAAUCUUGCCUUGGUAUGAUCUAAAAAUGAAGUAUUUGGGACAGUCUUUAGCUUUAUUUGGGUCUUAGCUUUUGCUUGGAAGGACAGCAGCAUUUUUAGCCAGUCAUAACUGAGAUCCUGAAUAAGAAAGCAGAGCCACCAUCCUUCACAGUAUCACAGAAGAGUUCAUCUUCCAUCCUCAUCUAAAGUGAGACCUGAGCUUUAGCUUCAUUUCGUCUUCUCUCUUUUCCCUCCAAAGCGUGGGACCAGAUAGUGGGGGCAUUGCCUUGCUGCUGAUCCCUGGCAGAUACAAGCAGCAGCCCUGAGGGAUGGCUAAAGCCUAAAUAGUUUUGAAAUCCUGGAUGCUGAAGGCCUAAUUGAACCACAAGGCUUAAUGUUUUGUAUUUUCUCUUCCCUGAAAAUAUAAUUUCAGGCUACAGAGAGAGUUUCCUACCUAGCGAUCUCCUCUAGACAUCUGCUUGUGGUAUAGACAGUUGCAGUCCCAAGGAGAAAAGAAACAUGGAAGCGAAGGAACGAUUUAUCUUCAGCCCAUGGCGCAUAUUUUUAAUACAGGAUGAGAGACCAGGACCGACCUGAAUCUUAGUUUUAUUAUGAACCAAUAUAAUUUCCACAAAUGAAUAUAUUUUGAAACAAACACAGUCUCUAUGAAUUGGUUUCUUUUAAAAGUAUUGCCAGCAUUUUGUUUGUUGUUCAUCUGCCAAGAGUUACAUUUGAGGUGGUCAGUGCUAGAUGGGCUAAACAAGCCCAAAUUCUUCUCUACCUGGAGAGAUUUGUUGGCAUAACUACAUCACUGUAGUGGUCUCCUUACAAUUCCUUAUUCUGGAAGAAAAGUGCACAGCCAUGCUGCUGGAUUACUGUUAAACUUUUUUGUCAGUAUGAUUCAGUAGGCAGAAAUUUUUAACAAAAUAUUACUAAUAGCACUAAAACUACACACAUAAAUGCUGCUGACCACAGUGAGAGGUCAGAUGCAUUCCUGAGCUGCCUGUGCAAGGCGUCCCAUAAGCCAUCCUCUGAACCCCCCUCUGCAGCUGAUAUUGCUGGCACAGCCACCUCCGUACUAUGCAGUAUGUUCACCAGUGAUGUCCUACAGCAGAAUGACAUGCACACACAUAUGUUUUGUUUUGUGUAGGUUUACACUUCCAUUAGGCAGAGGUGCCACAGAGAGUCAGCCUUCUCAGUAUGCUAUGCUGCAGCAGCUGCCUAAUGUACACCACAGAAUAAUCUGAGCUGGAAAGGACCCUAAAGGUCACCUGGUCCAACUCCCCUGCAAUGGACAGGUACACCUACAGCUACAGCAGGUUGUUCAGUGCUCUGUCCAGCCUGACUUUGAAUGUCUCCAGGGACGGGGCAUCCACCCGUCUGGGCAACCUGUACCAGCGUUUCACUGUUCUAACUGUAAAACACCUUUUCCUUAUAGCCAGUCUAAAUCUCCUGUUUUAGUUUGAACCCAUUUCCCCUUGUCUUAUCACAACAGACCUUGCUAACAAGUCUGUUUCCUUCCUUCUUAUAGUCCCCCUUUAGAAGGCUGCUAUGAGGUCUCCCUGGAGUCUCCAGUUCUCCAGGUUGAACAGCCCCAGUUCCCUCAGCCUGCCCUCAUAGGAGAGGUGUUCCACCCCCUGGAUCAUGUGUGCGGCCCUCCUCCUCCAGCAGGUUUAUAUUUCUCCUGUACUGUACACCCAACUUAAGUUUCCCAGAAUGAAGUCCUAAAUUUAUUAGUUCUAGAAAGGGUAGCAGAAAAUGUUCAUUUAGUUAAUAAUCAAAACUCCUGAACAUUAUAACAGCUUAUAUAACAUGCCUUUAAUGCUUUGUGAAUACCUCCAUGUUUGAACCACUACUUUAUCAUCAAGAAGAGUGCAGAAAUGCCUUCACCAUUUAUGCAGAAGGUGCCUGCAAACACUUUCCUCUGAUUUCAUACUGUCAGCAAGCGUCAGUCUGUCCCUCUGCUACUACUACCUGAAAGAAAGGUGCCAAUGGCUCAGCUGGGUUGGCCAUAGAUUUGUUACCUCUCUGAGUGUCUGUACUAGACCCACUUGCUAACCUGUAGCACUUCCCCUAGCCACUUUGGGGACCAGCAUUUCGUAGCUGUUUCCACAUCCGCAUUUGCAGCAUACUCAACAUGGGCACGAUAGGGGGACAGGGACAUACAGUAGGGCAGGAUUGCCAGCAGCACUUGCAAGGCCCCAAGCGGGCAUCUGAACGUCAAGAACUUUCCCAGAUACGGAUUCUCUUAACUCUAGAAACUUUUGGGGGCCGAGAAGCUCUAAGAGCAGAGCGGGACAAGGCGCGGGUGCAGCGCGCUGCCACAGGAACAGGCCCAUAUCCGAGCUCGCCCACCCGCCGCCACAGAGGUCGCG